rnacentral:lncRNA from 1 species
GAUCAAAACGUUCCACAACUCGCCAGCAAUAGCAGUGUCCAACAUUACAUUCUCAGACAUCACCAUCAAAGAUUCAUUUAAUCCCGUCGUCAUAGAUCAGCAUUACAAUUCGGGGUUCACAGCAGCAGGAGGGGUACCUACACAGAAUUCAUUCCAGAUUAUUUAGCUUACAAUUUGUAUUGCUAUAUACUAAUUAGAUCAAAUUUAACAGGUUUCCAAAGUGAAGAUUACCGGAGUUACUUUUAGAAAUAUCAAGGGCAACUCAAUGUCGAAUAUGGCAGUUUCUUUGAACUGCAGUAGCGCUGCCCCGUGUGAGGGAAUUACUUUGGAAGGCAUUUCAUUAACCUACACCGGGAAUAACAGUCUCUCC